UCCGUUCGCUCGUAAAUUUUGCUCUGUACAUUUUUCAUUAUACUGUCCCUAGCGCCAUUCUUCCUUUCUCCCUCUAUCUUCACCGACGGUGGUGGUGGAGGGCUUCUCUCAUUGGUGGCUAUCCCAGACGCGUAUUUCAGAACAGAGAAAGAAAAGUGGUUAAGAUGUCAGAAUUGGUUUUACUUUUGAUGGCGUGUGAAAUGGGUAUAUAUCUAUGGAUUGUAAUAGCAAAACCCUAUUUCGCUUUCUCAUUGUUGGUUUCUGCUGCCGUUCAGAAUGGAAAGAAUUUGUUCUUUUACUUGGAUAUGGAAGGAUGCACAGAGGGUGUUCGAUGAAAUGUCUGAAAAAGGAAAUAAUUUCAUGUGGAGGGAUAAAAUGGUUGUUUCUUUGGUGGGUUUGUGGAUUCCAUAAAUGGGUGGGUUUUGAGGUCAUAGAUCUGACGAGUUAAGGGAAAUUGUUGGGUGAAGGAAUGAAUGAUGAUGGAAAUGGAAGGAGAUGGAGGGAGAGAGAGAGCAAAAGGGCAGGAGAGUGACAGAAGAGAGUGAGCACACGCUGCAGCCAAAUGUAUGAAGGGCAUACCUUUGCGGGUGCGUGCUCACUUCUCUUUCCGUCAGCUUCGCUUCCCCAUUAUUUUCCCUUCUGCUCUCUUCUUCUCUCUCUUCUCCUUUCCUGUUUUUCCUCCUCUGAUGGACCUCUGAUGGACUAAUGACACUGGCGAAGUUGAAGCGGCCUCUUCAAAGUUUCAAGCGGUGCCACUGCAGUCUACAAUUUCGCCUCCACACUCGUAAUUUGUCAGGUUGUUUUCAUCCAUUGCAAUAUUAUUGUUCUUGAAAUUCUCCAUACCCUUCUCUUUUCUUUUAUUGACAUUGAUUUCCAUGGAAACUUGGUAGCGCGACUUUUGAUGGUCCUCUCCUGCUUAUAUAUAUAUUGAAUUUUUGAGGUACAAACCGAUUACUAUUCAUAUUUAACGGAAAAUCCUUUGAAUAUCGUUGCUGUUUAGUGGAAAAAUCCGAUUACUGUACCCAGCUAAUCCAAAACUCCCGGCCAUGUUUUGGGGUUUCCUUGGUAUCGCCCACUCUUUGUUUAUUUUCAUUUAUUUUGGUUUCCUGAGAUUUGGGUUGUUCCAUAUCUGACCAAAUAUUUCUUUUGUUCCUGAGAAUAUUGGAACAUGGGAUAUAUUUUUUGUAAGCAUUAUUUUUUGUUGACGAAGAGUUCUGCAGAUUUUGUUUUGGUAUUUACUUUCCUAAAACGAAAAAUUUCUUUCCGUUGUGGGCUGUUACUUGUAGAAGGGUGUGAGACUGAAUCGACUUGAGUGCUGAAUAUGGCAACAGUCCCUCGUUUUGGAUGCCUGAAGGGCCUGAUGUUUUCGAGUCCCAGAUAUGGAGCUUCCAAACCGGAAAAUUUCCUCAUUCAGCACUUGUUUGACGCUGGGAGGCAACAGCCUGCUUAUUUUUCUCUUAUCUUCAGAUUAACCAUCACCCCCACCCCCACUGCCCGGGUAAGAGAACCACCAUGAAACAGGAGUUGUUAAGUAUGAUGUUAAAAGCCAGGACGAAUGCAAUUGGGGAAGAUUGCAUCACUCUCCCAUUCCCUGCCAGUGAAUGUAGUAGACAAGGAAAGAGUUUAACCUCAAAAUUCAAAGGUGUUGUGCUUCAGCAGAAUGGCCACUGGGGUGCUCAAAUUUAUGCUAAUCACCAUCGUAUUUGGCUCGGAACAUUCAAGUCGGAAGACGAGGCAGCCAUGGCUUAUGAUAGUGCAGCUAUCAGAAUCAGGAGUGGAGAUUGUCAUAGAAACUUUCCUUGGACCAAAUUCACAAUUGAAGAGCCUAACUUCCAGAAUCUUUACACUACAGAAGCUUUGCUUAGUAUGUUAAAAGACGGUUCUUACAGAACUAAAUUUGCUGAGUAUUUGAGGGAUUGUUUGGAAAGCGUACAAACAGCUAGUCCCUCUGCAGAAAAGCUACAUGACAAUGGACGGACAUCUAUUAAGCAACUUUUUCAAAAGGAGCUAACACCGAGCGAUGUUGGUAAGUUAAAUAGAUUGGUCAUCCCAAAGAAAUACGCUGUUAAAUACUUCCCUCAAAUACCAGCUAGCACGAUAGAUAACGUGAAACGUGUUGAUGAUGAUUGUGAUGUGCAGCUAGUAUUUUUUGACAAAAUGAUGAGACAAUGGAAAUUUCGAUACUGUUACUGGAAAAGCAGCCAGAGCUACGUUUUUACGCGAGGUUGGAAUCGGUUUGUGAAAGAAAAACAACUGAAAGCUAAUGACACAAUAGCUUUCUACUUGUGUGAAGCAGCAAAGGCAAGCGAUGCUAACACUACAUUCUGUGUGGUGGAUGUUAAAAACCGCAACAGCUAUAGCUUGACUGAGAAUGAAAUCACAAGCAGCGAAAUGCAGCUAGAUUUGAGUCGUGAAGAAGUUAAUGGACCGGUGUCGCCUAAGCAUGUCGACGAUGAACUAAAAGAUGAUCUUGAAGUCUCAGGCUUCAAACUGUUUGGAGUGCAUAUUAAGGGAAAGUUCGCGGGUCAAUGUUUUUCCCUGCCCCGAUCGGCAGCAACUGGGUUUCCCGGGCUGAUUUGAUUGGAUAGCCUGUUUAGUUCAAAAUUUGCAGGCAAUGAUUAUUCUUGGGUUGUAGCAAUUGAACAAGCAUUCAACAAGUUUCUGAUACCCUGUCAAAUUCAAAGAAUUCAUUUUAUGAAGCAGAAACUCCAAAAAGCAGCAUGGCUCCACUGGCUGCUUGCCUUAUUGGUAGGUGGACAAUAAAGAGACUUCAAGGGAGUGCUAAACGAAGUCUACGUUCAUGUUCAUGCCAAUUUGAACCAAACUCAACCGGUUAAGGUACAUAUUUUCAACCGAAAGGUCAAUUAUUCGAAAAAUCUUGUUGUUUCGAUUCUCGAGACUAAAGAAAACGACAAACUCCAUUUGGAAAGAGAAGAAGAGGAUAUGAGAUGACACUAGUGGUGGGUCCUUAGAAAAGUUAGAAAAAUGGGUAAUAUAAAUCCAAUGGAGGAGAGGAGGAUGGAGUGGCUGAUAAAGUGAGUUGGGAUUCCAAUGCCAAGAGAGAGAGAGAAGAGAUGUGCAGCCUCAAAUUCCCUCAAAAGGGCCGUUGGGUGAAUCCUUUGUGUGGCUGAUAAUAAUAAAUGUUGUGUUGAUUCUUUCAUAAAAUGCAGACAAUCAAGAGGAAAAGGCCAAACAACCCCAUGUGAACCCUCUUAGGCCCAAACCAUAUCCCUUCGAUUUUAAUUCUCCCAAAAUUCGAAUUUGA